GGCGCUGUGGCACAGUGGGUUAAAGCCCUGGUCUGAAGCACCGGCAUCCCAUAUGGAUUCAGGUUCGAGUCCCGGCUGCUCCU
rnacentral:tRNA from 1 species